GAAAUGCGAUAAUUAAUGUGAAUUGCAGAAUUCAGUGAAUCAUCGAGUCUUUGAACGCACAUUGCGCCCCCUGGUAUUCCGGGGGGCAUGCCUGUCCGAGCGUCAUUGCUGCCCUCAAGCACGGCUUGUGUGUUGGGCUUCCGUCCCUGGCAACGGGGACGGGCCCAAAAGGCAGUGGCGGCACCAUGUCUGGUCCUCGAGCGUAUGAGGCUUUGUCACCCGCUCCCGUAGGUCCAGCUGGCAGCUAGCCUCGCAACCAAUCUUUUUAACCAGGUUGACCUCGGAUCAGGUAGGGAUACCCGCUGAACUUAAGC
rnacentral:misc_RNA from 1 species